GGGCGGAGCGAAGAAGCAAUGAAUCUGAUCGGAACCUUUUCUCUUCAUAUUGACAGUUCCAUUGUUUUGUACUGGUUGUCGUAGAAGCCUCCUUUAGAAGAAUUUGUACACUCAUCCCUCAGAAUAUCAUGAGGUUUAAAUGAAGUCUACAAUUAAAGGACUAGAUAAAGGUUUAUUGUCAAUCAUCAGAGAAGGUGGUAGUCUUGAGUGUAGGGCAAAGACGACUCUUUUGAUUGGCAAGAGCUCUACUGAGAAAGAACCCGAUUCUAGUACUGGAUGAAGCUACAGCUAAUAAUUUCAAAUCAUUUUUAAUGCAAUUGAUUUAGACUGAUUAUGUCAUUUAAGAAGUAAUUUGUGAGCAGUUUAGUGAA